GUUCUACUUUAAAUAUUUGUGGACACAGUCUUGUAUAUUAGCAUUCCUAGAUUUAAAUUCGGACCUAUCUUUCCUGAUAUCGUAUGCACUGCCAAUAUAAAGAUCUAUACAUUUUUGCUGAACGGCUUUUGUGGCUUUCAAGAUGAUUUUCUUUCAGGCCACAUGUUUUUAUAAAUCGCUGGCUGCUAAUUACAUGAAAGUAAUGCCAAACAGCAUCAUGGACCCUGGACUCUCUGAACAAGACGACGAGAAGAAGUACACUUCUGUCUGUGUUGGCAGAGAAGAUGACAUUAGAAAGUCGGAAAGAAUGACAGCUGUUGUCCAUGACAGAGAAGUGGUCAUUUUCUACCACAAAGGGGAAUAUCAUGCUAUGGACAUUCGUUGUUACCAUUCUGGAGGACCCUUACACUUGGGAGAAAUUGAGGAUUUCAAUGGACAAUCAUGUAUAGUUUGUCCCUGGCAUAAAUACAAAAUCACUUUGGCAACAGGAGAAGGAUUGUACCAGUCUAUAAACCCUAAAGACCCAUCAGCAAGACCCAAGUGGUGUUCCAAGGGAGUAAAGCAAAGGAUUCACACCGUGACGGUGGAUAAUGGCAAUAUUUAUGUGACGCUUUCUAAGGAACCUUUUAAAUGUGACUCUGAUUUUUAUGCCACUGGAGAGUUCAAAGUAAUUCAAAGUUCUUCCUGAUAAAAAUAUAUGGCAGCAAAAAAAUGUGUGUAUGUUUGAAAAUAUUUUACAGUAAUUUUGUUUCAGUAGCAAAGGUGAAUUUUUUCCAACAUAGAUACUAUAUAUAGCUUUAAAAAUCACAGGUUUUGUCAGGGGCUAGAGAGAUGGCUAAGAGCUCUUGCUAUUCUUCCAUAGGACCUGAGUUUGGUUCCUCACACUCACCUGUGACUAUAGCAUUGUCUCUAGUGUUUCAGCCCAUAAAGAACGUGUAAGCCACAGCCCAGCAGCACUCUUGGCAUAGUGGAGACUAUGUUUUAGUAAACAUUUGUAAGCAAUGUGACCGGCUCCAGGGAAUCUGAUGCCCUCUUCUGGCCUCUGUGGACACCAGCACACAGGUCAUACACACAUAAAUCAAAAUAGAAGCAAAUAUUUUUUAAACUCCUAGAUUUGGGAGGUUUAAAAGCACAUUUGCUUUAGUAUAACUUCUGGGCCACUCAAAGUUGACAGAAUACAUUCCAUCCCUCUCUGGAUUGAUUGGAAGCUGUACAUUAGAGGUUCGAGGUGAUCAGUUUAGGAAGGACUUACACAGUUGAUAACAGAUAAAACAAAACAUAACAGGAAAAAUUUAAGUGGGAAGAGAUUCCUUUUAAAUACAGCAGGUUUUAUUUGGGAAAGUUAUCAUACAUUCAAAGUUAACAGUUAGCAGAAUGGUCCUCCAUCACUUACUUCAGUUCCCAGCGAUCCUCUGUUCUUCUUACAUUGCUUUGUCCAUAGAUCACACACUUCCUGUGUUUAAUUAUCUUUUUUAAAGUUUUAAAGGUAAAAUAUAAGCACACUGAGGUCCUCAAAUCUUAGUUGUGUACUUUUGCUUACAAAUGUUUACCAGAUAUUUAUAUGUUAAAAUGGCCUCCAAGGAGGUCAGUGUGUAUGCUGAACUUAAAACUCAGAAACUUAAAGCUAGGUGUACUGAUACACACCUUUAAUUCCAGCAUUCUGAGGCAGAGGCAGGAGGAUCUCUGUGAGUUUGAGGCCAGUCUGGUCUAUACAAUGAGCUCCAGGCAACCAGCGCUACAUAGUGAGACUCUAUCAAGGGAGGGAGAAGGAGGGUGCUAGAUGUCAAAACCAAAUAAAACCUGGCUUGACUAGUCUCUUAUCAGGGCCAGUUCCUGAAGUAAAAAAGCCACACACAGUGACGCCCUAGCCAGGACAGAGGCAGUCUCCUAAUCAGUGCACCAAACUACUUUGCUUACAUGAAACUUUCAAAUAAAAGUUUAAAAGAAUUUUAGAGAAUAGUGUGUGUGUGUGUGUGUGUGUACAGUUUCCCAAAAAUGUUUUGUUCCUCACAGUUUACAAGCAGGUUGAUGUUCACUUGGUUUACACUGGUUUUACUGUACCAGUUAUGUGUGGUCAGUGCUGUUCUGACUGCCUGGGACCAUAUCAUGCUUGUUAUUCAGGUUUUAGAACACCCCCCUGGGUGUCUGUCAUGCAGAACUUAGCAGUCAGUAAAAUGCAGGUGUAAAUGGGGCCAGAAAGGAUGUGUAGGUAAUGAACCCAUGGUGAAGACUGUUAAAAAUAAAGCUAAGUCUCAAAGCAUAGUAAUUUUCAUGAUGUGAGGUGAACUAAGUGUCUAAACCUAGUAUUUAGCAUUCUGCUGUCCCUGGACUCUUCUCCUUGUUGUUGUGAAAAUGAGGGAGCUGCAGAAAUGGCUCUGUGGUUGACAGCAUUUGCUGGUCUUCAGAGGGGACUGCAGUUUGGUUCCCAGCUCCCACAUCAGUGACACACAAGAGCUUGGACCUUUGCUGUAUAUUAGUGCAAUGCCUUUACUUUGGGGAUGUGGGUUACAUGACCAAAGAGAUUUGUUACUCAAUUCUAAGAAUACUACCAAGCCAGGCUUGGACUUUCUCAACAAUGUUUACACCAACAGUUACUCACUGGGUUCAGAAAAUAUGCCAUCUCUGAGGGGAGUUCAUACCAGCCUAUUAUUUCUUAAAUAGUCACAAAAUCUUAUCAUGUGUUAGGAUAUAAAGUGCUUAAAAGAAACUAAAAUUGUUCCUUUAGGCAAAAAUGAAUUCAGGUCCUUCAUAACUUCACAAGUGACUUAUAAAAUCAGUAGGGAGACUCAGCUAUACUGCCUGCAAAUAGUAAUAAAUAUACUUUUUACUAUCUCUGAAAGUGUAGCAUUUUUAAAAAACAUUUAUUUGACUUACUUAUUUUAUGUGUAUUAGUGCAAAGAUGUCAGAUCCCCUGGAACUGGAGUUACAGACAGUUGUGGGCUGCCAUGUGGGUGCUGGGAAUUGAACCGAGGUCCUCUGGAAGAGCAGCCAGUGCUCUUAACUGCUGAACCACCUCUCCAGCUCCAGCAUUUUUUUAAAAUAAAGUUUUUGUCUGCCUGUGUGUAUGUGCACCACACUUCAUCUGGCUCCUGCAGAAGUGAGAAAAGGGCAUUAGAUCCCCAGGGACUGCAGUUAAAGACAGUUGGGAGCUGCUGUGUGGGUGCUAAGAACCAAAUCUGGGCUCUCCACAAGAGCAGCAAGUGCUCUUAACUGCUGAGCCAUCUCUCCAGCCUCAAAAUGUAUAGCUUUUAGUUAUGAAAUUUUCCUUUCCAGAUAAGCAUUCUGAACAAUUCUUCAUUAAAAAUAUAAAUGAAUUAUGAACACAUCCAUAUUAUAAACAGUGUAAAAUCUAACAACAAAAUAUGAAUUCUCUUAUUAAAAAUAUUGUAUAGUCAGGUCAGAGAAGAUGGCUCAGUGGCAUGUUCUGUUCUUCCAGAGGACCUGUGUUUGGUUCCCAGCAUCCUUGUCUGGUGGCUUCUGGAGACUUGACACUCUCUUCUGGCCCAGGAGGCUUGCGGUGAGCUGAAAGCUUGUCUGGCUUCUCUGGCAAUGACCUGGAAGGUUUUGCUUUGAUUUCACCUUCAGAAAACAUCGGCUCUGGAAGCACGGGCUCAGAAAAGGCUUUCCUAAAAUUCUCACUCUCUCU